rnacentral:rRNA from 1 species
AGCAGGGAACCAGGACCUUUACUUUGAAAAAAUUAGAGUGUUCAAAGCAGGCUCGACGCCGGAAUAUAUUAGCAUGGAAUAAUAAAAUAGGACGUGCGGUUCUAUUUUGUUGGUUUUUGGAAUCGCCGUAAUGAUUAAUAGGGACAGUCGGGGGCAUUAGUACUCACAUGCUAGAGGUGAAAUUCUUGGAUUUUGUGAAGACUAACUUCUGCGAAAGCAUUUGCCAAGGAUGUUUUCAUUAAUCAAGAACGAAAGUUAGGGGAUCAAA